GAGUAAAAGUAGGAAACCAACAUCACAGCUGUUGUUACCGCCAUCACCAAAACAUAAUAUGUAAUUCAAGGGCCUUUAUCUGAACCUAAUGGAUGUAGCGGGCUUUGUUAGUUUGCCUGAUUUUGUCAUCCAUUUCAUUUUAUGAGUUUUUUAAUUUAAAUGUAUUAAAAAGGAAUUGUUCCAAAGUCUUAAGUCCCAGAGGCCAAAAGAGAUGACUAUGUUUGGGGCUUACAAAUAUAUGAAAUUUUGCUUUGUAGACAUGUUACUGUCUGCUAAUACCAUUUUCCUUUGCCCCUAGAUAAAUGAGAUGUCGAAGGAAGUCACCAAAUUGAAGGAGGCCUUGAACAGCCUCUCCCAGCUCUCCUACUCAACAAGCUCAUCCAAAAGGCAGAGUCAGCAGCUGGAGGCGCUGCAGCAGCAAGUCAAACAGCUCCAGAACCAGCUGGCGGAAUGCAAGAAACAACACCAGGAGGUCAUAUCAGUUUACAGAAUGCAUCUUCUGUAUGCUGUGCAGGUAUGGUUAUGCCCCUUGAAGUAUCUGGACAUCCUAAAGAAAU
rnacentral:sRNA from 1 species